GAAGGAGUGGGUGAGUGGUGUCAAACGCUGCCGGGUUACCUAGGCAACGGCUACCUGUCCCCAUUCCACCCCGGUUUCCAGCUCCGUUCUCAAGAGGACUUUUGCCUUUCUCAUAGUUCCAAGGCUCAGGACCAAGAGAUGCCACCCAAGCUCACACACCUAGUUCAACCUCUCUUCCCAUCCAGAGCCUUGGCCUGGUGGCUCUGAAGCUGGAGAACUCUACAUCUAGUAUUCUGGAAACUCUAAGAAGCAGAAGCAGAGCCAACAUUGUGACAUAGCAGCUCCCUGCUAAUGGCCCAGGAAAGCAGUGGAGGAUGGCCUAAGUAUUUGGGCCAUGCCACCCACAUGGGAGACCCAGAAGAAGCUCCUGGCUCUUGGCUCCAGCCUGGCUCAGCCCAAGCAGCUGUGGGUGCUGGGGAAUGAACCAGCAAAUGGAAGAUAUGUCUCUCUGUGUGUGUGUGUGUGUGUAUAUAUAUAUAUGUGUGUAUGUGUGUAUAU